rnacentral:rRNA from 1 species
AUGAACGCUGGCGGCGUGCCUAAUACAUGCAAGUCGAGCGAACAGAUGAGGAGCUUGCUCCUCUGACGUUAGCGGCGGACGGGUGAGUAACACGUGGAUAACCUACCUAUAAGACUGGGAUAACUUCGGGAAACCGGAGCUAAUACCGGAUAAUAUAUUGAACCGCAUGGUUCAAUAGUGAAAGACGGUUUUGCUGUCACUUAUAGAUGGAUCCGCGCCGCAUUAGCUAGUUGGUAAGGUAACGGCUUACCAAGGCAACGAUGCGUAGCCGACCUGAGAGGGUGAUCGGCCACACUGGAACUGAGACACGGUCCAGACUCCUACGGGAGGCAGCAGUAGGGAAUCUUCCGCAAUGGGCGAGAGCCUGACGGAGCAACGCCGCGUGAGUGAUGAAGGUCUUCGGAUCGUAAAACUCUGUUAUUAGGGAAGAACAAAUGUGUAAGUAACUAUGCACGUCUUGACGGUACCUAAUCAGAAAGCCACGGCUAACUACGUG